rnacentral:rRNA from 1 species
AGCAUAUCAAUAAGCGGAGGAAAAGAAACCAACAGGGAUUGCCCCAGUAACGGCGAGUGAAGCGGCAACAGCUCAAAUUUGAAAUCUGGCUCUCGGGCCCGAGUUGUAAUUUGUAGAGGAUGCUUUUGGCGAGGUUCCUUCUGAGUUCCCUGGAACGGGACGCCGGAGAGGGUGAGAGCCCCGUACGGUCGGAUACUUAGCCUCUGUAAAGCUCCUUCGACGAGUCGAGUAGUUUGGGAAUGCUGCUCAAAAUGGGAGGUAAAUUUCUUCUAAAGCUAAAUACCGGCCAGAGACCGAUAGCGCACAAGUAGAGUGAUCGAAAGAUGAAAAGCACUUUGAAAAGAGGGUUAAACAGCACGUGAAAUUGUUGAAAGGGAAGCGCUUGUGACCAGACUUGCGCCUGGUAAAUCAUCUAGCGUUCUCGCUAGUGCACUUUGCCGGCUCAGGCCAGCAUCAGUUCGUCGUCGGGGACAAAAGUUUCGGGAACGUGGCUCUCUUCGGGGAGUGUUAUAGCCCGUUGCAUAAUACCUUUCGGUGGACUGAGGUUCGCGCUCCGCAAGGAUGCUGGCAUAAUGGUCAUCAGCGACCCGUCUUGAAACACGGACCAAGGAGUCAACCUUAUGUGCGAGUGUUUGGGUGUUAAACCCCUACGCGUAAUGAAAGUGAACGCAGGUGAGAGCUUCGGCGCAUCAUCGACCGAUCCUGAUGUUCUCGGAUGGAUUUGAGUAAGAGCAUAUAGGGUUGGACCCGAAAGAAGGUGAACUAUGCGUGUAUAGGGUGAAGCCAGAGGAAACUCUGGUGGAGGCUCGCAGCGGUUCUGACGUGCAAAUCGAUCGUCAAAUAUGCGCAUGGGGGCGAAAGACUAAUCGAACCUUCUAGUAGCUGG